CCUACGGGAGGCAGCAGUGGGGAAUAUUGGACAAUGGGCGAAAGCCUGAUCCAGCAAUGCCGCGUGAGUGAUGAAGGCCUUCGGGUCGUAAAGCUCUUUUACCAGGGAUGAUAAUGACAGUACCUGGAGAAUAAGCUCCGGCUAACUCCGUGCCAGCAGCCGCGGUAAUACGGAGGGAGCUAGCGUUGUUCGGAAUUACUGGGCGUAAAGAGUACGUAGGCGGUUAUUCAAGUCAGAGGUGAAAGCCCGGGGCUCAACCCCGGAACUGCCUUUGAAACUAGAUAACUAGAGUCUUGGAGAGGUUAGUGGAAUUCCGAGUGUAGAGGUGAAAUUCGUAGAUAUUCGGAAGAACACCAGUGGCGAAGGCGACUAACUGGACAAGUACUGACGCUGAGGUACGAAAGCGUGGGGAGCAAACAGGAUUAGAUACCCUGGUAGUCCACGCCGUAAACGAUGAUAACUAGUUGUUCGGUCACUUGGUGACUGAGUGACGCAGCUAACGCAUUAAGUUAUCCGCCUGGGGAGUACGGUCGCAAGNUUAAAACUCAAAUGAAAUUGACGGCUGGAGAGUUGCGAGNGACACGAGGAGAG
rnacentral:rRNA from 1 species